UGGGGAAUCUAGGCGGGGCUCCACCCUGACCACACCUCCAACCCCUCACUGGGGGAUUCUAGGUAGGGUUCUGCCCUGACCAUGCCCCCAGCCCUUCACUAGCCAAGUGCUGUCCUAUGGCAGGUGCAAGGGCCCUGAGGUCCCUGUAUGGAUAAUUACCAGCAUCCUGUCACACAGAGCUGAACAGCUUGGAAAAUUUUUUGAAGACAAUGGGGAGCAAUGGAACUUUCUUGAGCUUAGGGGAAAAGUUUAGAUGGGAUUCACAUUUAAGUGGGUUACCACAGAUGUUGGGGAAAUGAAGUCACAGUCUUUCUGUGGAGUGUUAGGAGUAGAAGGCCCUUUAUUGUGGCAGGUGUAGUAGAAUGGUCACAUUGGUUAGGCUUUUUCUGUUUUGUUUGUUGUUUGACUGUUUUUUUGAGACAGGGUUUUUCUGUGGCUUUAAGCUGUCCUGGAACUCGCUCUUGUAAACCAGGCUGGUCUCGAACUCAGAGAUCCACCUGCCUCUGCCUCCCGAGUGCUGGGUUUAAAGGCGUGCUCCACGAGGCUCUGCUGUUAGGCAUUUUCAAAUUUUGCUAUAAGUUUUUUUUUUUUUUUUUUUUUUUUUUUUUUUUUUUUUUUUUAAACUCCAGGUUCGGGAGGAAGCAUGGGGCGGGGUCCACUUCGCAGAGGGUUCGGGGUUCACAAGCUCCCUUUGUCCAUCUAGCGGCUCAGUCACUGCCUAACAAGAUGUGUCUUUCUCCAUCCUCAGCCAAGCCCGGUGUCUCCCAGCAUGCCCAAGGCAGCCCACCCUCAGUCUGCUUCCCCAGUCGCAGCAGCCAGAAGCAAGGGGGGCAUAAGCAGAACCCCAGUACAACACACCCACGUCUAGGAGUCCUGGGGGCUUUCUAAGCAGCUCUGUGCCCUCCUGCAUCCUGUCAUUAGCCCAGCCCGGUACAGCAGGGACGUCUCUCCUCUCCGGCGAAACCAGGCACUGAGUUUGUGGGGGGGCUCCCCAUGUUCUUAGGGGGAAACGGGUGCGUGAUUUUCCCCUGCCAGGCGUGGCGGGAGCUGGGCUCAGAGGUCACCCUCGAGCCCAGGGCCAGCAGGAGGGGCGGCCUGGCUGGUGGCCCAGGGGCUCAGCUGGGGGCGCGGAGAGGGAGGGGGAGGUUGGCGCUGUCGGGAGCCAAAGGCUUUGGCCUCCCUGAGGGAGCCGCUCUCCCGGCCCGGGUCGGAUCAAUGGGCUGUAAUUAUACCGCGCCGGGCCGGGAGCCGGCGGCGGGGAGGGAGCGGGAGCUGGCAGGAGGCAGCGGCA
rnacentral:lncRNA from 1 species